AUUGAACGCUGGCGGCAGGCUUAACACAUGCAAGUCGAGCGGGGUGAUGGUGCUUGCACUAUCACUUAGCGGCGGACGGGUGAGUAAUGCUUAGGAAUCUGCCUAUUAGUGGGGGACAACAUCUCGAAAGGGAUGCUAAUACCGCAUACGUCCUACGGGAGAAAGCAGGGGAUCACUUGUGACCUUGCGCUAAUAGAUGAGCCUAAGUCGGAUUAGCUAGUUGGUGGGGUAAAGGCCUACCAAGGCGACGAUCUGUAGCGGGUCUGAGAGGAUGAUCCGCCACACUGGGACUGAGACACGGACCAGACUCCUACGGGAGGCAGCAGUGGGGAAUAUUGGACAAUGGGGGGAACCCUGAUCCAGCCAUGCCGCGUGUGGGAAGAAGGCCUUAUGGUUGUAAAGCACUUUAAGCGAGGAGGAGGCUCUUUUGGUUAAUACCCAAGAUGAGUGGACGUUACUCGCAGAAUAAGCACCGGCUAACUCUGUGCCAGCAGCCGCCGUAAUAC
rnacentral:rRNA from 1 species